GUAUAUGUGUCAAACAGCUGUCAUUAAUGUCAAAAAAUCAGCUGUUUUGGUUUCCUCGCUGGUCGCUCGCAAUUUGUAUUUUUGUAUGAAAAUCUGAAUCUGAAAUUCUGAAGCAGUUUCAAAUUUAGCCAUAAUAGAAAUAAGAAAAUUGUAACUUUGGCUCCAUUUACGUUAGGAUAAGUUGUGAAAGAGCAAUGCUGUCCGCGAUCAAGUUAGUGGUAUCCGAAAAUGGAAAACUAAUUGACUCAGUAACUAAAGAAACCAAUACGCAAACAAAUCAGCUAUUAAAAUCAUUGGAGGUGUUUCAACGAUCUGCAAAUGAUGCUCUGACUAAGUUGAUCGAAAAACAAUGUGGGGAUGGAGAUUCAGGUCACAGCAUGGAUGAUAUGGAUGACAUUGACGAAGAAGAUGAUGCAGAUGAACAAGUGAGUCCACGAAAAAAAAAGAAGUAACCUUUUUUAGUGUAGAAGUAGUGUAGUUAUUACAUAGAAAUAAGUUUUUAUAUAAAUUAUCUUGAAAAUUUGUAAUAAAACAAUGAUGCUUUUGUA